GAUGAACGCUGGCGGCGUGCUUAACACAUGCAAGUCGAACGGGAAACCUUUUAUUGAAGCUUCGGCAGAUUUAGCUGGUUUCUAGUGGCGGACGGGUGAGUAACGCGUGGGUAACCUGCCUUAUACAGGGGGAUAACAGUCAGAAAUGACUGCUAAUACCGCAUAAGCGCACAGAGCUGCAUGGCUCGGUGUGAAAAACUCCGGUGGUAUAAGAUGGACCCGCGUUGGAUUAGCUAGUUGGUGAGGUAACGGCCCACCAAGGCGACGAUCCAUAGCCGGCCUGAGAGGGUGAACGGCCACAUUGGGACUGAGACACGGCCCAGACUCCUACGGGAGGCAGCAGUGGGGAAUAUUGCACAAUGGGGGAAACCCUGAUGCAGCGACGCCGCGUGAAGGAAGAAGUAUCUCGGUAUGUAAACUUCUAUCAGCAGGGAAGAAAA
rnacentral:rRNA from 1 species